rnacentral:rRNA from 1 species
CAGAGGGUGCGAGCGUUAAUCGGAAUUACUGGGCGUAAAGCGUGCGUAGACGGUUAUUUAAGUCGGGUGUGAAAGCCCCGGGCUCAACCUGGGAAUUGCAUUCGAGACUGAAUAGCUAGGGUACGGUAGAGGGAAGCGGAAUUUCCGGUGUAGCGGUGAAAUGCGUAGAUAUCGGAAGGAACAUCAGUGGCGAAAGCGGCUUCCUGGACCAGUACCGACGUUCAGGCACGAAAGCGUGGGGAGCAAACAGGAUUAGAUACCCUGGUAGUCCACGCCAUAAACGAUGAGGACUAGACGUUGGAGGGGUAAGCCUUUCAGUGUCGUAGCUAACGCGCUAAAGUCCUCCGCCUGGGGAGUACGGCCGCAAGGUUG